rnacentral:rRNA from 1 species
GACGAACCGAGCGAACGUUGUUCGGAAUCACUGGGCUUAAAGGGCGCGUAGGCGGGUGCUCAAGUCCGGGGUGAAAUCCUCCAGCUCAACUGGAGAACUGCCUCGGAUACUGGGUGCCUCGAGGGUGGUAGGGGUAUGCGGAACUAUCGGUGGAGCGGUGAAAUGCGUUGAUAUCGAUAGGAACUCCGGUGGCGAAGGCGGCAUACUGGACCACAUCUGACGCUGAGGCGCGAAAAGCCAGGGGGAGCAAAACGGGG